rnacentral:rRNA from 1 species
GACGAACGCUGGCGGCAUGCCUAACACAUGCAAGUCGAACGAAGUGGCGAACGGGUGAGUAACGCGUAAUCAACCUGCCCUUCAGAGGGGGACAACAGUUGGAAACGACUGCUAAUACCGAAUACUGAAGGAGGGGAUGGCGUCUGAUUGGUUAGUUGGAGGGGUAACGGCCCACCAAGGCGAUGAUCAGUAGCCGGUCUGAGAGGAUGAACGGCCACAUUGGGACUUAGACACGGCCCAGACUCCUACGGGAGGCAGCAGUGGGGAAUCGUCCGCAAUGGACGGAAGGCUGACGGAGCAACGCCGCGGGAGUGAUGACGGCCUUCGGGUUGUAAAGCUCUGUUAAUCGGGACGCGGUACCGGAAUAGAAAGCCACGGCUAACUACGUGCCAGCAGCCGCGGUAAUUC